UAGCCAGGUCUUAAUGAGAAAUUAAAAUGCAUAAAGCAACAUUCAAUGUUGGAAGUUUCUUUGAUUAAUAUUCAGGUUCAAGGUUAGGAAAUCAAUCAAAGAGACUGCCUUAAUUCUCUCUAAUGAUGAUGUUGAUGGUGGCAGGGCUUGGCAAGGCGAGGUGUAGGCUCGAUGCAUGGAGGUGGGACUGUGGGGAUGGUGUUGUAACAGCGGGGACUUCAAUGCGACUAGGGUACCGUUGCCAUGAAGAAAAUGGUUUAUUUUGAUUACAUCCCCACUUAUCUAAAAGGGUAAUGACGAUUUUUUAUUCUUAGGCAU